rnacentral:miRNA from 1 species
CUGAGACAGCUUACCCUGC